CCUACGGGGGGCUGCAGUGGGGAAUAUUGGACAAUGGGGGGAACCCUGAUCCAGCCAUGCCGCGUGUGUGAAGAAGGCCCUCGGGUUGUAAAGCACUUUCAGUGAGGAAGAACGCCUGGUGGUUAAUACCCAUCAGGAAAGACAUCACCCACAGAAGAAGCACCGGCUAACUCCGUGCCAGCAGCCGCGGUAAUACGGAGGGUGCGAGCGUUAAUCGGAAUUACUGGGCGUAAAGCGCGCGUAGGUGGCUUGAUAAGCCGGUUGUGAAAGCCCCGGGCUCAACCUGGGAACGGCAUCCGGAACUGUCAAGCUAGAGUGCAGGAGAGGAAGGUAGAAUUCCCGGUGUAGCGGUGAAAUGCGUAGAGAUCGGGAGGAAUACCAGUGGCGAAGGCGGCCUUCUGGACUGACACUGACACUGAGGUGCGAAAGCGUGGGUAGCAAACAGGAUUAGAUACCCUAGUAGUC
rnacentral:rRNA from 1 species